ACGGCCACGUAACUUUGAAACAUUGGUUCCGGUACGAUAACCGAAUUUAAGCGAUGUCAAGCCUGGUCAGUAUCUAGAUGGGUGACCGCUUGGGAAUACCAGGUGUUGUAAG